rnacentral:rRNA from 1 species
GUGCAGCAGGCAGAAACCUCCACAAUACACGAAAGUGUGACGGGGCCAUCCCGAGUGCCGUCCGCUGAGGACGGCUUUUCCCCAGUGUACAUAGCUGGGGGAAUAAGGAGAGGGCAAGCCUGGUGUCAGCCGCCGCGGUAAUACCAGCUCUCCGAGUGGUGGGGACGCUUAUUGGGCCUAAAGCAUCCGUAGCCGGCUGGGCAAGUCCUCCGUUAAAUCCAACGAUUCAAUCGUUGGGCUGCGGGGGAUACUGUCCAGCUUGGGGGCGGGAGAGGCCGACGGUAUUCCCGGGGUAGGGGUGAAAUCCUAUAAUCCCGGGAGGACCACCAGUGGCGAAGGCUGUCGGCUAGAACGCGCCCGACGGUGAGGGAUGAAAGCUGGGGGAGCGAACCGGAUUAGAUACCCGGGUAGU